CGGAUUCCCUCCUCUCUGGUUUCAGGGUGCAUCACCUGAGAACUGCCACUGCCAAGUAACUGCAGCUUGGCAGUUCUUGUAUGAGCCUCUGUGCCCUGGUGGUCAGUGCACGUCAUAGCAACCGGUCAGAUAGGGGGAGGGACAAUUUGCAUAUUAGCCUUUUAUUUUAUAGG